AUGGCAGCCGGGGCGACGGAAGAUGUGGAGCUCGCCAUCUUGGCCUUGCCCAAGAAGUCGUUUCACUGCGCCGCCUGUCUUUGCCCCCUCAAGCCUCCAGUAUUCAGGUGCGAGAACGAGCAUUUCGUGUGCCAGGCCUGCGGCGGCGCGAACAAGCACUGCGGUCCAUGCGGGCGCGAGGUAUCCUACACCCGCUCCCGCUUCAUGGACGGCGUGGUCGACGCCUACAAGGUGCCGUGCCUCUACAAGGGACACGGCUGCGCCAUGGACGACAUCCCCUACCACUCGGCCGCCGACCACAAGGCCAGCUGCAAGCACGCGCCCUGCUACUGCUUCGACUGCCGCUUCGUGGGCUCGCCGGCCAAGCUCGUGCGCCACCUCGCGUCGCCGUCCGGCGCGCACGCGUGGCCCGUGGAGAAGAUCAAGGGCAACGCCGACGCGGACGCGGACGCCAAGCCUCUGUACACGGGCGUGCUCUGGGUGGACGGCCCUCCGGCGCCCCCGCGCCAGCCGCUGGGGUGCAGCUUCAGGCUGAAGGCGACGGUGGCGAGCUGCUCCGUCCCCGGCGUCGUGGACAUGGACCAGGGCUGGCUCCACGCCCAUGUCAGCCCCAACAUGCUGCACGGCCACGGAGGAGAGUCCGGCGACUGCGAGCUUCAUCUGCGCCUUUGUCUCACUAAGCUAGCGUGA
rnacentral:rRNA from 1 species